GGAUAAAUCUUAUCAUCUUAAUAUUGUCUCAUAUGUUUUAAUUUUAUAUUUUAUACAACGUGAAUACAUAUUAGAUACCUAUGUAAAGUAUUGUCAACACUCGUAUGUCGUAAAUCAGUAUACCUACCUGUAGUGACGCAGUACCCUUUUUGAGUAAAAGUUGUUCUUCUGAAAUUACUUACAUUGACUAAUAAAAUGACAAGUAGUUAGAUUGAUUUUAAGUAGGUAUGUCUUCAAUUUUUAACAUUAGAAAUGAAAUAAUACAAAGUACAUGUACACGAAAAAGUAAAUUUGACAAGACUGUUCUUUGUGAUGAAUCUAAAGCAAAGAAAAUAUGUAGGUAAUCAAGAACGGUAUGAAUAUAAUGACGAUGAUGAAAAAAUAUGUUUUAAAUUUGAAUACAUAAUUUGAUGAUUUGAGUGAUAUUAAUUCGGAUCCCAAUCAACCUAAACUUCAAAAAUUUACACUAACAAAAUUUGAAAUUUGUAAUAGAUGUUCAAAUGCUGAAUAUUACAGUGAAUUUGAACGGCUAGAAAAUAAUGUCUCUUGUAAUGCUGUUUUUUGUUUGGAUUGUAUUUAUUUUGCAAAAAAUUUAUAAACUGAAAAAUUAACCAAAACUGGAUAUAAUAAUUGGAGAAAAUUGAAUGGGAGAUUGUUAAAACAAUAAAAAACUUUUCAACAUUUAAAAUUAACUACUCAGUAUAAGAGCUAUAACAGUUCAAAAUUGACUAGUUACUCAAUUAUCAACUGCAUGAAGUUUUAAAAAUAGACAAAAUAUGAAAGUAUUUAUAAUAUGUGCUAAAUAAGGACUUGCUCUAAGAGGUCAUGAUGAAAUGUUAUCAACAGUUUCUAUAUAUUAAAUUACUUGUUUACAGGAAAUAUUAAAGAACAGUGUUUAUUAUUUGUCAAGAACAAUAUAGUUUUCAGAUUUUUUUAACAGAACAAUUAACUAUACAAGUUUGAUCAUUCAAAAUAGUAUACUUGAAGUUUGUUCAAAUAUGAAAAUAAAUACUAUUAUUAGUGAAAUUAAAGUCUGUAAAAUGUACUCCAUUAUGUGUGACCAAGGAAGGUUAGAAAGUUAGGCUAUUACUUGGAAAUGAGAUAUUAAUACAUUUUUAUGUAAUUUUAUUUUCAUAAUUUUUUUUUUCAUUAGAUCUUAUGAAACAGAAAAUGUAUCCCUACAUGUAAAAUACAUUAUUCCUAAUAGCUAUAGUGUAUGUAAACAAUUUAUUGGAAUUUAUAAUGUAUCAAAUGAAAGAGGAGCCAAACAUAUUAAUAUCCUUAAAUACAUUUUUUCUGUUUUAAAAAACUCUGUAUUUUCAUAUUCCUCUUGUGGUUUAAACAUAUAAUGUUACAAAUGUUAUGUCAAGAUCCAAAUCUGGUGCUUAAACAAGAAUAAGAGACUUACCAUGAAGCACUUUAUUCAUUGUAUGGCCUAUAAAUUGAAUUUGGUUGUAAUAAAUACUUGUAGAACCAUAAAGAUGCAUAUACAAAUAAUAAUAAAUACUUAUUUAAUAUUUUA